rnacentral:rRNA from 1 species
GAAGCUUGCUUCUAAAUGACCUAGCGGCGGACGGGUGAGUAACACGUAGGCAACCUGCCCACAAGACAGGGAUAACUACCGGAAACGGUAGCUAAUACCCGAUACAUCCUUUUCCUGCAUGGGAGAAGGAGGAAAGACGGAGCAAUCUGUCACUUGUGGAUGGGCCUGCGGCGCAUUAGCUAGUUGGUGGGGUAAAGGCCUACCAAGGCGACGAUGCGUAGCCGACCUGAGAGGGUGAUCGGCCACACUGGGACUGAGACACGGCCCAGACUCCUACGGGAGGCAGCAGUAGGGAAUCUUCCGCAAUGGGCGAAAGCCUGACGGAGCAACGCCGCGUGAGUGAUGAAGGUUUUCGGAUCGUAAAGCUCUGUUGCCAGGGAAGAACGCUUGGGAGAGUAACUGCUCUCAAGGUGACGGUACCUGAGAAGAAAGCCCCGGCUAACUACGUGCCAGCAGCCGCGGUAAUACGUAGGGGGCAAGCGUUGUCCGGAAUUAUUGGGCGUAAAGCGCGCGCAGGCGGCUCUUUAAGUCUGGUGUUUAAUCCCGAGGCUCAACUUCGGGUCGCACUGGAAACUGGAGAGCUUGAGUGCAAAAGAG